GACGAACGCUGGCGGCGUGCCUAAUACAUGCAAGUAGAACGCUGAAGGAGGAGCUUGCUUCUCUGGAUGAGUUGCGCACGGGUGAGUAACGCGUAGGUAACCUGCCUGGUAGGGGGGGACAACUAUUGGAAACGAUAGCUAAUACAGCAUAAGAGUAGAUGUUGCAUGACAUUUUCUUAAAAGGUGCAAUUCCAUCACUACCAGAUGGACCUGCGUUGUAUUAGCUAGUUGGUGGGGUAACGGCGCACCAAGGCGACGAUACAUAGCCGACCUGGGAGGGUGAACGGCCACACUGGGACUGGGAAAAGGCCCAGACUCCUACGGGAGGGAGCAGGAGGGAAUCUUCGGAAAUGGACGGAAGGCUGACCGAGGAACGCCGCGGGAGGGAAGAAGGGUUUCGGAUCGUAAAGCUCCGUUGUAAGAGAAGAACGAGUGUGAAAGUGGAAAGUUCACACUGUGACGGUACCUUAACAGAAAGGGACGGCUAACUACGUG
rnacentral:rRNA from 1 species